rnacentral:rRNA from 1 species
UUACGGCCAUAUCACGUUGAAACAGCGGUUCUCGUACGAUCACCGAAGUUAAGCAACGUGGAACCUGGGCAAUGCCUAGAUGGGUGACCACUUCGGAAUACCAGGUGCUGUAAG